GACGAACGCUGGCGGCGUGCUUAACACAUGCAAGUCGAACGGAAAGGCCCUGCUUUUGUGGGGUGCUCGAGUGGCGAACGGGUGAGUAACACGUGAGUAACCUGCCCUUGACUUUGGGAUAACUUCAGGAAACUGGGGCUAAUACCGGAUAGGAGCUCCUGCUGCAUGGUGGGGGUUGGAAAGUUUCGGCGGUUGGGGAUGGACUCGCGGCUUAUCGGCUUGUUGGUGGGGUAGUGGCUUACCAAGGCUUUGACGGGUAGCCGGCCUGAGAGGGUGACCGGCCACAUUGGGACUGAGAUACGGCCCAGACUCCUACGGGAGGCAGCAGGGGGGAAUAUUGCACAAUGGGCGGAAGCCUGAUGCAGCAACGCCGCGUGCGGGAUGACGGCCUUCGGGUUGUAAACCGCUUUCGCCUGUGACGAAGCGUGAGUGACGGUAAUGGGUAAAGAAGCACCGGCUAACUACGUG
rnacentral:rRNA from 1 species